AAUAAAAGCCCUAAGAGAGCUUCCACUGCCAGCAGCCUUCCAAUUUGCUCUGUUCCCCCUUGGGCCCUGUUGAUUGGGCCCAGUGAUCACCUAAAAAGAGUGCAAAGAGUCAGGAAGGCUUGUGGGUUCAGUCUUUCUGUGCUAACACCAGGCCACAUCCAGGCCUGAUGUACUAACUGAUCUCCAGUUCAUUCCUUUUGCAAUUUUUGGCCUUGAUUCAUAGUUCCUGAUUCUUGAUUGGCUCUGAAAUCCUCCCCAUUUUCAAAAGGGAUGCAGUCAAGCAGGCCAAAGCGCUCCAUGUUAGCUAACAAAUGUUUGCAAAUCAUAAUAAUGUAGGAAGAGAACCAUAAACUAAAUGAACAACAGGCAUUAGCCCUCAUGCUGUCACAUAAGCAUUCCUCAAAAUAUAAUCAUGCUUCUAAACAUGGGCUGGCAAUUCAGGAAAGGGCCACUGAAAAUAUUAGCCUCGUUCUUUUCUCUGUAGAGUGAGCACAGACUAUUCCUAAACCACAUUGCAGUAUGCCAACAUUGUAAAUUAAUGCCUGAUUGGUUACCUAGAAGUAAGACAAUCUUACUUUUAGGCAUCUAGAACACUGAGAAAUCCAGGAUGGACACUUAACACUACCAAAGAUUGAUCUAUUUUGGGUAAGUAUACUUCUGAUCUCUUUUUGAGGACUGUAUUAGUCCAUUUUCACACUGCUAUAAAGAACUGCCUGAGGCUGGGUAAAUUAUAAAGGAAAGAGGUUUCAUUGACUCAGAGUUCUGCAUGGCUGGGGAGGCCUCAGGAAACUUAACAGUUAUGGCAGAAGGCAAGGGAGAAGCAGGUACCUUCUUUACAAGGCGGCAGAAGAGACAGAGAGGGCAGGGGAAACUGCCAUUUUUAAGCUAUCAGAUCUUGUCAGAACUCCGUCACUAUCACGAGAAGAGCAUGAGGGAAACUGCCCCCAUGACCCAAUCACCUCCCACCAUCCCCCGCUCAACACGUGGGGAUGACAAUUCAAGAUGGAAUUGUGUGGGGACACAGAGCCAAACCAUAUCAAGUACCUACAAAAUUAUGGUGACUCUUCACUAAUUUGCAAACUGAUUAUCUGCAAAUCUUAAAUAGGGAAUAAAACACAAAAAUAUCAUUAUCCCUCCAGAACUGAGGACGCAAAUUGGAUUUAGAAGACUUAGCUUUGACACCUAGAUAUGUUUUCAUUGAUUUGACCUAACUUGAUCUCAGUUUCUCUUUUAUAGAGUUAGUUCUUUAGAUCAGAGGUCCCCAACCCCAGGACUGCGGACUGCCACUGGUCUUUGGCCUGUCAGGCACCCGGCCACACAGCUGGAGUGUGAAAAAAAAGGAAAAAACUGAAAAUCUCAAGAGGAUUCCAGGAAAUCAAAACAAUGAAUUAUUGAAUCAAGAAUUUGAAAGAGAAAAUAGAUGCAUACUGAAAAAAGAAUUUUGUUUAGUGAGAUAGAUGUAAUAAUGAAGGCAUGUUGAUAACGGGGGAGCUAUGUAUAUAUGAGGGGAGGGAUAUAUUGGAAAUCUCUGUAUCUUCCUCUCAAUCUUGCUGUGAUCCUAAAACUGCUCUAAAAAAUAUUUUGAGAAGGAAUAAUGAUGUGGUAAACAUGUUCUGUUAUUUAAAAAGAGAGACUUUUCAUAGCCGCCUCCCUCCCCCUCUACACACACACAGAGUCCUGUCCGUCUUCAUUCCCUUACUCAAUAAUUUGUACAGACACAGCCACUGGGCUCCAGUAAUCCUAAAGUUUCUAGAAAAUCAAGCACAGAAAAAGGUUAAAACCCUGAGGGAAUAAAAGAAUUCCUUUGCAUCCAUUGCAUUUCUCAGGAAGUGAACUAACAAAUUCACUGCUUUUAAAUGAGGAAAUUUUCUCAGUGAAAUUGAUUCCAAACCUUCGUUAGGUCAACUGUUCCCAGAUUUCUUAGCUGAUGCCUGAUCUGACUAUUCCUUAUCUUUAGUACAGAAACCAAGGUGAAUGACCUUUAAAAAACAUAUUAGACUGUUGACGUGUCUUCUAUGUUGUACUCUAGGUAAAAACGAUAAACCAGGAAAAAGAAAGUAAAAUUCAACCUUAGGCUCAUGGAUCCAGAGUGGAUAAUUAUGAGUCUGUAGUAUCUACAUGCAUGUGAUGAGGUUCAAGGACAAUAACCAUAAAGCAAAGACUUAAAAGGUUUUAUCAUUAGAAUAAUUGUAAUUCACUUGAUCUCUCAAUGUAACAAUACUUCGGUCUACUGUCUCAAGCCAUUAUUAUGUCUUACACUCAGCAUAUUGGUUUGUCUACCAUUAAAUAUUUAUUUUCUACAGUGCUUUCUGGAAGGCAAACAAAGCAGCCACUCUGCUACUUUAUAUUGAUUCCUGAGUUGUCCUUCGGAAACGCUUUCAGGAAGUUUAAUAGGUUUGAAAGAUAUUUAGACCUGUGACUGGCAAAUAUACUUCCUUCUUUUUAUUUCAAUAAGAGAGUACUAGAACUUAGAUCUUUAUUGUUUAAUCUAGUCAGUGCUGUCAUUGUCAAUCAAGUUCUCAAAUGACACUUGUCCUGAGCUGUAACUGAUCUAUUCAGAAGAAUAUGAAAAUAGUAAAGACGGCAACUAUGCAUGUUUUUACCGGACACGAUUUUAAUUGCUUUAAAAUGAAGUUAUGCAACCAAUGAGGAAUGGAGCUUUUGGAGUGGCCUGAAGCUAAAGGUUUCAGGUGUAUUUUUGCUUUCUUUGAAGAAAGAACCAAAUCAUUUUAUUUAAUAAAAAGGCCAUUUAUCAAGAAUUUCUUAAAGCUGUUUUAAACCUGAGUUUGCAAUUUAUAGAAUAUGUUCAAGCAGCCUCAGUGCCCUUUUAAUUGGAUGGUUUUCACAGAUUUAUCCAAUUUGAGAUUUAUCCAGUGAGAAUUCCCUUUGUUCAAGUAUAUAUGUCUUCUCUUCCAUAAAGCAGAUUCAAAUGAAAGAGUGCAAUCUGAUAUAUCAGACAUGUCAGUUAUACAUUUGAUGUGGUAAAUUUAUAAGAGAGGCCAAUUAUUGUUAUGAAAAAAUACAAUGAAAUACAUGAUAGUCAUUUACUGUUUUUAUAACUAAUCUAAAAGUAUUUACUAAAAAGAAACUAUUUCUUUUCAUAUGUACUUUACUUUUUACUUUAACCCUUCAUAUGUCCUUUAAAUAAAGAGA
rnacentral:lncRNA from 1 species